GAUGGACAGAACCGAAGCGGCUGUUUGUUUGCUCCUUUUGGUGUUUUUUUGGUGGAAGAUGAGGCAGCGAAGCCAAGAUGCAAAGAUGGAGGCUCAGCGGCGUUUACGCCAAAAGUUUAUGUUGGCUGCAAGGCGAAAAAGAGUGAUACAGCGACGUGCAAGCCGCUUACAGCGAAAGCAGAAACGCCAACAACGGAAGGAAAUGAUGAUGCAUCACACCAAUAUAAUGAGCCUAUCCCCGAACAAGUGUACUGGUGGUGGAGAUCACAGCUCAAAGAUUCAGAGAUAGCUGGGGGACAACUCUGAAGCCUGCAGUAUAGCAACAAGACACAAUUCCACAGUGCGUGGGUGCUAUUGAUGGUUCUCACAUCCCUAUUUUGAAACCUCCAUGAAACCAAUCUGAUUUACACAACAGAAAGGCUGCCACUCUAUCAUUCAUUUGAAUGUUGGACAGUCAGGAAAGGAACAUGAUGCUAGCGUCCUCAGAAAGUCAUGCCUUUGGACUUGGGCCACAGAAAGUAAUGCUUUGUAUGGCAGGGUAAAAAAAGUAUUUGUGGAACUGAUGUAGGCUACUUUAUUCUUGGUGACUCUGCUUACCCAUUGCAGAAAUGGUUGGUAAAACCAUAUCCUGGCAUUGGCAGGCUUACAAAGGACCAAGAACUAUACCACGUGAGAAGAGUGAAUUAUACAUGGAUAGAUUUGUGUCAGAAUGGGGUAGUGGCCAUGAUGAAGAUGCUGAACGUCUGCCUUGUAAUGUAACCUCUGCAACAGAUGUGUUCAUGCAACAUUUGUAAGGCAUGUAAAUCAACAAAUAAACUGUCAGAUAUUUCUGUUUGCACAUA